AUCAGAACAGAAUGAGAGAUUUAAAUGAAGAAGGAGAUGCUUAAAGAAGUGGAAUGAAAAACCUGGAGCGUCAGAUGACGUAGAACACAAAUUAAGACAAUGUCUGAAUUACAUACUUUCUGAAAUCACAGAGGAGAAAUUGUUGCUCAUUGAUAUUAAGAACUUUAAACUAAAACAAGCUGUAAACUCUUCUAAUGUUAAUAGGUGCAUGCAAAUAGAUAACUGAGCUUUAGCCUGCAUGAACAACAUUAAUACAAUGGAGACAUUAUUGGGAAGUCAUGUUAGCACCAAAUUGCUACUAUUGUAAAUAGAAUGAAACUACAAAAUAACCACACCAUUAAAAACAUUUUAGGUGCUCAAAGUUAAUUGAAUUGAAUUAUAUUUUUUCAUUAGUUUGCAAAUUAUGAAAUAAAAUAUGUCCUGAUUACAAA